GGGGAUAUGACUCGGGUAGAGUGCUUGUCUAACAUUCAUGUUGCCCUAGGUUCAAUUCCCAGUACUUUCA
rnacentral:tRNA from 1 species